UGAUUUGAAAUAAGCCAUGCUUGUAGGGUUAUCAGAAUAAAAACAGGUUAUAACUGUCUCGAUACCGGAAUAAACCAGUCAGAAAAGCGUUGUCAGAACCCAUACCGCCUUACCAACCUCAGGAAAAAGUAUAAGUUUUCUUAUUUCACAACUCAUUGGGCAAUAGCACAGCAUUCCGAGUCGAAAUGCAGAUUAAAUAUGUCAUUAUCACAGGGUAAUGGGAGGUGUUUCACGAAAACCGGGGAAAGCAAAUUUCCGCCUUACAAACACCGAAAUACGGGGUUCUGACAGCCGGUUUCAAAUAGGUAAAUCCCGACUUUUCAUGCCAUGAAUAAAGGACAAAACGCUGCGCCAUCAGUAUGACGGCACAGCGUUUUGUGUUAUUGCCUAUAUUCAGACUAAUACGGUAACGAAUGGCUUUACUUC
rnacentral:ncRNA from 1 species